rnacentral:rRNA from 1 species
GACGAACGCUGGCGGCGUGCUUAACACAUGCAAGUCGAACGGAAAGGCCUUUUCGGAGGUACUCGAGUGGCGAACGGGUGAGUAACACGUGGGUGAUCUGCCCUGCACUCUGGGAUAAGCCUGGGAAACUGGGUCUAAUACCGGAUAGGACCGCACUUUAGUGUGUGUGGUGGAAAGUUUUUUCGGUGUAGGAUGAGCCCGCGGCCUAUCAGCUUGUUGGUGGGGUAAUGGCCUACCAAGGCGGCGACGGGUAGCCGGACUGAGAGGUUGGUCGGCCACAUUGGGACUGAGAGACGGCCCAGACUCCUACGGGAGGCAGCAGUGGGGAAUAUUGCACAAUGGGCGCAAGCCUGAUGCAGCGACGCCGCGGGGGGGAUGACGGCCUUCGGGUUGGAAACUCCUUUCGCCAGGGACGAAGCGUCUUGUGACGGUACCUGGAGAAGAAGCACCGGCUAACUACGUG